AACUUUUGGCAAUGGAUCUCUUGGCUCUCGCAUCGAUGAAGAACGCAGCGAAAUGCGAUAAGUAAUGUGAAUUGCAGAUUUUCACUGAAUCAUCGAAUCUUUGAACGCACCUUGCGCUCCUUGGUAUUCCGAGGAGCAUGCCUGUUUGAGUGUCAUUAAAUCCUCAACCCCGAUCGAUUUGUUUCGACCUAGGGGAUUGGACUUGGAGAGUGCUGGCGUGAUGCGGCUCCUCUCAAAUGGAUCGGCGGAAUUCAAUCCUUGGCUUGCGGACGUCAGUGUGAUAAUCACGUUGCGCUGUCGGUUUGAGCCGUAAGGGUCAGCUUACAAUGGUCUUCGGACAACUUCAUUUAAAUUUGACCUCAAAUAAGGUAGGACUACCCGCUGAACUUAAGCAUAUCAAUAAGCGGAGG
rnacentral:misc_RNA from 1 species